rnacentral:rRNA from 1 species
AUACGGAGGAUGCGAGCGUUAUCCGGAUUUACUGGGCGUAAAGGGCGUGUAGGCGGUCUUGCAAGUCAGAAGUGAAAUUCCUGAGCUCAACUCGGGCGCUGCUUCUGAAACUGCAGGACUUGAGUGCUGGAGGGGAUAGCGGAAUUCCUAGUGGAGCGGUAAAAUGCGCAGAUAUUAGGAAGAACACCGGUGGCGAAGGCGGCUAUCUGGACAGUAACUGACGCUGAGGCGCGAAAGCGUGGGGAGCAAACAGGAUUAGAUACCCUGGUAGUUCACGCCGUAAACGAUGAAUACUAGGUGUAGGGGGUAUCGACUCCCUCUGUGCCGCAGUCAACACAAUAAGUAUUCCGCCUGGGGAGUACGGCCGCAAGGUUGAAACUCAAAUGAAUUGACGGGG